UACAGAGGGGGCAAGCGUUGUUCGGAAUUACUGGGCGUAAAGGGCGCGUAGGCGGCCUGUUAAGUCGAACGUGAAAUCCCCGGGCUCAACCCGGGAACUGCGUCCGAUACUGGCAGGCUUGAAUCCGGGAGAGGGGUGCGGAAUUCCAGGUGUAGCGGUGAAAUGCGUAGAUAUCUGGAGGAACACCGGUGGCGAAGGCGGCAUCCUGGACCGGCAUUGACGCUGAGGCGCGAAAGCCAGGGGAGCAAACGGG
rnacentral:rRNA from 1 species